UACUUAACCAAGUUUACCGAAUGUUUUUGUAAUAAAAUUUCUUAAUUUUGAUAUACGUAAUGAACGAAUACGGUUCUAGAUUAUUACCGCCUGCUAAAGAAACUAGUACUAGCGAUGGGUGUGAAAAAUGUUGCUACGCUGGCUGGUCAUUUAACAUAUUAGUGUCGAAAUUUUAUCAAACUAGACCCAAAUAAGGAAAUAGUUUUGGAGAUCUUAAAGAGCAGGAAUUGAAGGAGAAAUUGAAAAAUACUAAAAAGAAACACAAGAAAAAAUUACACAUUGAGUGACGACGGGGAGGAGGAGGAGGAAGAGGAAGAUGUUUCUAGUAGCAGCGAUGUUGACAAUCUAAUAGUGAUUAGAUAAAUUGUGAUUGUUUUAAAUAUAUUUUUUUACGAUAAACGUAAUUUUAAUAAUAGCGAAUUGACUAAAAUCUGUUCGAUGUUUAAAAUAGAUAAUUUUUUCAUAUUUCCAUCCACAGUUGUCUUCAUAUGUUAUUAGAUGUGCUAAAUAAAGAUGUAUUUUUAGAUA